GUUCCCCUCCCCUGCUUCCAUUCUUCGUUCGCUCUCUCAAGCGCACACUGCACAUCGGAAAAUCGCAAAUUCCCCUAACUAUCCAUUUCCUCGGCCUCCCGACGCAUUCCGCAUUGCCGCAAUCUUCUCCGAGCACGGAUCUGGGAGCUUCCUCGUCGAUUCGGAUCUCAAUGCGGUGUUCUCCAUCGUCGAUCUGAGAGUUCUGUUUUUAGCUUGGGGAGAUGUUUGAGAAGCUUCCUCGUCGAUUCGGGAGCUUCCCCGAGCACGGAUCUGGGAGCUUCCUCGUCGAUUCGGAUCUCAAUGCGGUGUUCUCCAUCGUCGAUCUGAGAUAAAUUAUUCUUAAAUAAGAAAUAGCAAUGGUGAGGAGGCAAGUAGGCUCCAGUCGCCGACUUGUUGACAGUGGAAUCCCUUUUGCUGGAUCUUUACAUUCGAAGUCCCGAUUUUCACCGUUGCUAUCAGUUGUUCUUGUCCUUUUGGGAGCAGUCCUGCUUGUUUGCUUUGCCUAUGGCUCAGGUUUAUUUGGAAGAAAGCUGGAAUCAUUUUAGCAAGGUUGAAGGUGACUUCUCAUGCAGACAUUAAGUUCCCUCUCCCUUACAGGCCAAAGUCAUCUUCUCUCGUCAUCGUGUCGGACGCAUUGGAUUAUUUGUCCCCGAAGUAUCUCAGCAGGACUCUUCCUGACCUAGCCAGGGUUUCGGCUGAUAGCAUAGUUAUUUUUACAGGUAUAAACUUGAUCUAUAAACUGGCCCAACUGGACUGGCUGAACUAGGGGUUCUGGUUCAACCGGGAAGCAGCAGCUCUUGAUGGUUGGGUUCCUAAUCAGAUCUGCAGCUGAACAAAUUGAAAGAUUUGGUGUUCUUGCUUUCAGGAUGGGUUCCCCUUUGCUUAAGUUUUUCUUUUUUAAAUUUAUUUCUUAAAAAUAUUAGUAAAUCCAAUUCACUGAAACCAUGAACAUGGCUAAUUCAAUCCCUAGUUUGGUUUUGUAAUCUAUGGGAAUUAUAUACUGCUUGAGACGGUUAUUUUAUUAAAUUCCAUAAGGUUUUUUGCUGGA